CCUACGGGAGGCAGCAGUGAGGAAUAUUGGUCAAUGGGCGGAAGCCUGAACCAGCCAAGUAGCGUGCAGGAUGACGGCCCUACGGGUUGUAACCUGCUUUUAUACGGGAAUAACGCGCCUUACGUGUCGGGCUUUUCAUGUAUCGUAUGAAUACGGACCGGCUAAUUACGUGCCAGCCGCCGCUGUCAUACGGAAGGUCCGGACGUUAUCCGGAUUUAUUGGGUUUAACGUGAGCGUAGGCCGCAUGUCAAGUGUGCUGUGAAAUGUCCGGGCUCAACCCGGGCCUUGCAGCGCAAACUGGCGUGCUUGAGUCCGCGGAAAGCAGGCGGAAU
rnacentral:rRNA from 1 species